UCCCUAAGCACUUCCGGUCUUCUACUCACUUCCUACAAAGAGUUCCCUGAACCAGGGCCUCCGCGGGAGCCAUGGCAGGGAAUACGAUCCUGCUGGCUGCUGUCUCUGUCCUUUCUGCUUGUCAGCAAAGUUAUUUUGCUUUUCGGGUCGGAAGGGCGAGAUUCAAAUACAAGGUGAAGCCCCCGGCAGUCACUGGGUCCCUGGAGUUUGAGAGAGUGUUCCGCGCACAACAAAACUGUGUGGAGUUUUAUCCCAUAUUCCUGAUUACACUGUGGAUGGCUGGAUGGUAUUUCAACCAAGUUGCUGCAGCUUGUCUGGGGCUGGUGUACAUGUACAGCCGUCAGAAGUACUUCUGGGGAUAUUCAGAAGCUGCUGAGAAAAGGGUCAGUGGUUUCCUGUUGAGCCUGGGGACUUUGGCGUUGUUGUGGGUCCUCAGCGCCCUGGGGAUAGCGAACAGCUUUCUGGACGAAUACCUGGACUUCCACGCUGCCAAGAAUCUGAGGCGAUACUUCUAACCUUUUCUCUUCCCUUCACUUUCAUGUUUGCGGAAGCUGUUUCCACUCAGAAGACAGGUAAACCGGCUCUCACCAGCCCGCGCCAGUGGAGGGCUGUGGCGCUGCGGACACCUUCCACUCUGGCGGUGGAUACAGGCAAAGCUGGCUGGGUCGUGGCUUUGAUCCAUGCAGUGUGGGCUGGGAGAGCUGAGGCACGCGAGGGAGUGGGGUGUUACUAACUGCCUCCACUGUAGGGCAAGACCUCUGCGUCACAGCCCUCCACGCUCCACCCUGACUUUUCCCCCAGAAAAAUCUCCUCCUCAUCUAGUUCCUGGAUCUCUGAAUGGGCCAGUUGGCAACUGAAUUGCUGUGGCCCUCAGUAUGUCCCCUGCAGAGUAACGGCCACACCUCUGAGUGCCCAGCAAAUUUAGAAAGUUUCAAUUUGCUUGAAUUAAAAGGGCUGAGAAUGACUGAUCUCCACGGCUACAAGUUUAAAUCCCGCCAUGAACGUUUUGAGAAAAGAACCACGAUGAUUCUGUUAAAUCCCAGGAACAAUAUAUCUGCUUAAUGAAUUUUGGAGACUAAAAUGAAGAUCCUGAAAUGAGGUACACCCUGGAUUGAUUCAGAUAAUGGUCUUUUAUUUUUUUUUUUCUUUAAAAGU